rnacentral:rRNA from 1 species
AUACGUAGGGGGCGAGCGUUGUCCGGAAUGAUUGGGCGUAAAGGGCGCGUAGGCGGCCCGGUAAGUCUGGAGUGAAAGUCCUGUUUUUAAGAUGGGAAUUGCUUUGGAUACUGUCGGGCUUGAGUGCAGGAGAGGUAAGUGGAAUUCCCAGUGUAGCGGUGAAAUGCGUAGAGAUUGGGAGGAACACCAGUGGCGAAGGCGACUUACUGGACUGUAACUGACGCUGAGGCGCGAAAGUGUGGGGAGCAAACAGGAUUAGAUACCCUGGUAGUCCACGCUGUAAACGAUGAAUGCUAGGUGUAGGGGGUAUCGACCCCUUCUGUGCCGCAGUCAACACAAUAAGCAUUCCGCCUGGGGAGUACGGCCGCAAGGUUGAAACUCAAAUGAAUUGACGGGG